rnacentral:piRNA from 1 species
UCCUUCAGCUGGUGUAGUAGAUGUGG